AUACGGGAGGCAGCAGUGGGGAAUUUUUCGCAAUGGGCGCAAGCCUGACGAAGCAACGCCGCGUGGAGGAUGAAGGUCUUCGGAUUGUAAACUCCUGUCGACCGGGACGAAUGCACCCGACCUAAUACGUCGGAGUGUUGACGGUACCGGUGGAGGAAGCCACGGCUAACUCUGUGCCAGCAGCCGCGGUAAUACAGAGGUGGCAAGCGUUGUUCGGAAUUACUGGGCGUAAAGGGCGCGUAGGCGGCCUUGUAAGUCUCGUGUGAAAGCCCUCGGCUUAACUGAGGAUCUGCACGGGAUACUGCGAGGCUUGAGUUCGGGAGAGGAAAGCGGAAUUCCGGGUGUAGCGGUGAAAUGCGUAGAUAUCCGGAGGAACACCAGUGGCGAAGGCGGCUUUCUGGACCGACACUGACGCUGAGGCGCGAAAGCUAGGGGAGCAAACGGGAUUAGAUACCCGGGUAGUCC
rnacentral:rRNA from 1 species